GCAGGAACCAGGAAACUCAAGGUGAUAGAAGCCGAAAGGAAAGAGGAGCUCUGACUCAUUCACUGCACUGAUCAAGAUACAGCAGGAGACACCAUCUUCUUCCCAAGUUUUGGCUUCCUCGCUCUUUCAAAGUGACGGCUGGAGCCCCAGGCUGGAAAAGCCAGCAGAGUGCUUUAGACAGACCUAUUUACCAGGAUGCAGAGGCAUUGUGAGAAACUCUCCACCUGGACCCCAGUCAAUACUGCUUGAUCCUCGCUGGCAUGUCCUAAGGUUUGUCAUUCCUUUGUUGAGGCUUUAUUUAGCAAAAGUCAUUGCCAGCCCAGCAGCACAUAAGAAGGAAAGAACCAAGGCAGUGAAAUUACAGCACAUAUUGCCAAAUGACUCUUUAAUUAGGAAGUAAGUGUUUUUUCUGUUCCCGUAACCUCUGGCAUUCAGGGCUGGUGAACAGCCAAGGGAAAGUGGCAUAUGGAGAAGAAGAAUGUGGCACUCAUGAAAGGCAAGAUUAAGUGUCCGAGUCAAGGCAAAUCUCACGAUAAGGUCUGCACGUGCCUGUCCUCACCCCACCAUCACCUCUCUUGUGUCCCCACAUGGGGAGGCAGCCCCAUGAGAUGAAGAGCCAUAAGGUGUCCCUAAACAACAUGGGCCUGGUUUCAGCAUAUUAAAAAGUGUUCAGUCAGAUAAUUACCCCUAAUAAUUAAUUCUUUUUCAUGAUCAGCUUAGAUGGCAAUGGCGCAGAAAAAGCAAAUCGCUUGGUGUUUGCAAUCUGCCUCUCGCUCGCAGCCCAUUCGGCACCUGGUGAUUCAGCACAUCUGUGUCUACCAAGGACUGAUAGAGAUGACAAAGCAGCUGUUUCUGGAAAAAUUGUUUACCUCCUCCUACCUUUUCUAGUCACUUUUCUUAAUGUACAAUCAGUCUUGAUAAACAAAAGUCACUUAACAGCCCCCGCAGUCUGAUAUGCUAUCUGAAUUUUACUGCAACUUCACCAAUAAGUUGCAAUCUGCUUUUUUAUUUUUAAGAUAGAAAUAUAUAUAUUUUUAAUUUUAAAUAGAUUUUUUUUUUUUAAUUAAGAUACAUGA